rnacentral:tRNA from 1 species
AAGACACUAGUAAAAUAAGUUUAUAACACUGCUUUGUCAGGGCAGAAUUGCGGGUUGAACCCCCGCGUGUCUUA